GUUUCCCGUAAGGCGCCGAAUGAGUCAUUAAAAAAUUAACAUCAUCCGAUCCCUAGUCGGCAUAGUUUAUGGUUAAGACUACGACGGUAUCUGAUCGUCUUCGAUCCCCUAACUUUCGUUCUUGAUUAAUGAAAACAUCCUUGGCAAAUGCUUUCGCAGUAGUUAGUCUUCAAUAAAUCCAAGAAUUUCACCUCUGACAAUUGAAUACUAAUGCCCCCAACUAUCCCUAUUAAUCAUUACGUUGAUCCUAGAAACCAACAAAAUAGGUUCGAACGUCCUAUUUCAUUAUUCCAUGCUAAUGUAUUCAAGCUAAAGCCUGCUUUAAACACUCUAAUUUUUUCAAAGUAACAGUCCUAACUUCCCAUAACACCAAAUUAAUGACAUCAUGGUUCGUCAGAAAGGAGAGAUCAAUGAUACCAGUACGUACCGAUGGCACGACCGAUAUAUUGACCCCGAAAUUCAACUACGAGCCUUUUAACUGCAACAACUUUAAUAUACGCUAUUGGAGCUGGAAUUACCGCGGCUGCUGGCACCAGACUUGCCCUCCAA
rnacentral:rRNA from 1 species